CUGAGUAGCCCUAGGGGUCAUCCGAGUCACCGAUGGUCGCCAGUGGUCACUGAACCUUCUGUGGGAUGGUGGAAGCUUGGCAGGAUGGGCCAGCGAAAGGUCCUAGGCUGGAACUCUGGUAGACUCGUCUCCCACCUUCCUUCUGCGCCAUGGUAAUUUCUGUGCACGGAAACCCCAGGAGGGCCCGGUGGCUUUGCUGUCACUGGCUCUCUCUGGCUGCCAGGGGCACACAAAAAAAGUCCUUGUGCUUCUGUUGUCCUGAGAUUACCCCACGUGGAUGCCACAGCAUUCUACCCCUAACCCCCUCCCCCCACCCCUCCGGCAGGGCCAUCUGAGAAGGCUGGAGGCUGAGAUGGAGGAGGCCACUUUUAUUUUCUGUGCCUGUUCCUGGGGCCCGAUGAACUGACCAGAACCUGUUCCAAUCCAGAAUUUCUAAAAAGAAGUGGCUGUGGGGCCCUGCUCUGCCACUGGACCCUGUGCUGGCCUCAGGUUCCCGCUGUGAGGUGGGGUUGGGGUUCGGGUUAGAGUUAGGGUCAGAGUCAGCUCUGUCCCCCUCAGCACCCCACUCCUGUGGCUCCUUGUGCACCACCCUUCUCUGCCCCCUGGCGCUGGAGGCCCCUGGAGAUAGUGGUCUCCAGGAUCUGGGCAGAAGAGGCCUCUCAGUAAAGGAACUACUGAGGCCAGAACCAGGAAAUGAUCCAAUGUCUCUGGGCAGA